CACUCCUGCGGGAGGCAGCAGUGAGGAAUAUUGGACAAUGGGUGGAAGCCUGAUCCAGCCAUCCCGCGUGCAGGAAGACGGCCCUAUGGGUUGUAAACUGCUUUUAUCUGGGGAUAAACCUACUUACGUGUAAGUAGCUGAAGGUACCAGAAGAAUAAGCACCGGCUAACUCCGUGCCAGCAGCCGCGGUAAUACGGAGGGUGCAAGCGUUAUCCGGAUUUAUUGGGUUUAAAGGGUCCGUAGGCGGACUGAUAAGUCAGUGGUGAAAUCCGACAGCUUAACUGUCGAACUGCCAUUGAUACUGUUAGUCUUGAGUAAGGUUGAAGUGGCUGGAAUAAGUAGUGUAGCGGUGAAAUGCAUAGAUAUUACUUAGAACACCAAUUGCGAAGGCAGGUCACUAAGUCUUAACUGACGCUGAUGGACGAAAGCGUGGGGAGCGAACAGGAUUAGAAACCCUGGUAGUCC
rnacentral:rRNA from 1 species